rnacentral:rRNA from 1 species
GAUGAACGCUGGCGGCGUGCCUAAUACAUGCAAGUCGAGCGAACAGACGAGGAGCUUGCUCCUCUGACGUUAGCGGCGGACGGGUGAGUAACACGUGGAUAACCUACCUAUAAGACUGGGAUAACUUCGGGAAACCGGAGCUAAUACCGGAUAAUAUAUUGAACCGCAUGGUUCAAUAGUGAAAGACGGUUUUGCUGUCACUUAUAGAUGGAUCCGCGCCGCAUUAGCUAGUUGGUAAGGUAACGGCUUACCAAGGCGACGAUGCGUAGCCGACCUGAGAGGGUGAUCGGCCACACUGGAACUGAGACACGGUCCAGACUCCUACGGGAGGCAGCAGUAGGGAACCUUCCGCAAUGGGCGAAAGCUUGACGGAGCAACGCCGCGUGAGUGAUGAAGGUCUUCGGAUCGUAAAACUCUGUUAUUAGGGAAGAACAAAUGUGUAAGUAACUAUGCACGUCUUGACGGUACCUAAUCAGAAAGCCACGGCUAACUACGUG